rfam:Stegodyphus mimosarum contig3984, whole genome shotgun sequence.
GCCUUCGUGAUGUAGUGGUCAGCACGCUGGGUUCGUAUUCCAGAGGUCCGUGGUUCGAGCCCGGGCGAAGGCG